UCCAGCAUUGUCGAGCUUCUGAAAGACAAAACUUGUGAUUUGACACUAGCAUCCAGAAAAGGUUUCUGUCUAGAUUAGCAAAUGCCUAAAUUGUUCUUGGUUACAUCCCAUGACCGGUUUUAGGCAGUGACUUCAUACUGCUUUUAGGAUUUUCUUGUACACUGGUGAGAAAAUAGGCAGGUCUGAUAGUGGUUUCACUUUUUUUCUACUUCACGUUCCAUAAGAUUCUUUUAUCCAAGCGAUUGUUUUAAAAUUCUACUGUAAGCGUUUGUGGUUCACUUUUUUUUUCUUUGCAGCACCCGGGCCUUUUUUUUUUUCUCUAAAUCGGGAGUAAAUAUAGCUGAGUAAAAUUACCUUGGUUAUCUUCCUUCUUUUUAAACUUAAUUGUUUUUAUUAAUAAUUCUAUCUGAAUAUGCAGAAAAAGUGAGUAUGUCCUGUAAUCUAUGCUAGCUUUUCUCGUUUACAGGGUACUCACAAAAUAUGUCUCCCUUAGUGUCCCACGGAAACAUUCUGGGUGCAAUCUGAAUUAAGGUAUGUGUUUUCAAAUAAGUAAUCAGUUUAGAUAUUUGCCUGUGUACCUUUUCCUGUAAUUCAGAGCUUGUGUUCUGUGGGUUUUAUGAUAAACCUGUAAAACAUGUAAGAAUGGUUUUGCAAGUCUGAAUCGUUGAAGGCAGCAAUAAGUGGAUUUAAAGCCUGUUCUUGAGCAGACAAAGGGGAAAAGUGUGACUCUGAUGCUGAACUUGUCAUUUUUCAUUUGACUUGCCUUUAAUUAUUGAAGAAGAGAGAGAACUAGGAAAAGAAAUAGAAUUGAUUAUUGAGCACUCCUAAAAAGCUCACCAUGAUUCUGUGUAGAGCCAAAGUGAAGGAUGAUGGAACAGAGCUCUGUGCAUUAGAAGGAAAUAAACCUGAUGUCCACACAGAGUCUUACUAAUUUCUGUUUUUAAAAUGCAAAAUAAGUUUAGGAAGUGUUGGAAGUUAGUAUUUUGGGAAAGAAAUGGCAGUUCCACAAAACAUUCCAUUCCAUUUAAGAGAGGCCCUUGGACUGAUUCAUGUUGUAACUGCUGUCACUGCAAUCAGUUGGUGGUUCAGCCUUGAAACGUGCACUUGGCCUUCUAUAAAGCACUGUUUUGUUUGCCUUUCAGUGCUAUGAGUCUUGAUAAAUUGGAGAAGUGCCCAAGAGAAAUUCAUCAUCCUGAGAUACAAAAGGUAGGAAGUGACUUUUUCUGGUUUGGUUCUUUUUCUUUAUUGUUUUCUGGAAAUAGAAGUAAUUAAGUAUAGAUACUACUGGUUUGUUUCUUCCAGUAGCUGAUAAUACUAAUACCAAUAAUAAUAAUAAUAAUAAUAGUAAAGUAAUACUACUUCAACUGUCUUUAUUUAUCCAUUGAACUGGCCAUUUUAAAUCUAAACUUCUAAACACAAAUCAAACCAUCAUCCUUGUAGAAUCUUUAAUAGGAGUGGGCUAAAGAUCCUGGUUUUGUUGACAGGAUUUAUUGGUUCAUGAACAGCAAGAGGUAAGUACAAGCCUAACUACCCUCUAGCUCACAGACCUGCCCGGUGAAUAGAGCUUUGUUUUUUUGAUGGGCUUGUGAUGACUUUGAGAUCAAUUGCUCAUUCAUUACAGUAAAAAAAAAAAAAUUGUUUUGAGCAUGACAGCAAAAAUAACUUUAAGCACAACUUAAUAAUAAUAAUAGAUCACCAAUUUUAGUUAAUAAUUUUAUGCUAUACUCUUGGGUGAGGGAAGACUCGGACACUCAAUAUGAGAUCAGCAAGCUAUGUUUAUUGCAGAGAGUAUCAGACACUUAUACAGCACAUAAUAAGCUUAUGAAUAUUCUGUAAGCCAAGCGAUCUAUUGGUUAAACUAUACCAUCAACUCUUCCUCAUUCCUUUGGGCCUACAUUCCCUAUUUCCCACGUCUCUCUGUCUACUUGUUAUCCUACCCAGCUAGGCCCAGGCACACGCUAUCUUGCAGGUGCAAAACUCAAAAAUACCUGUGUUCGGUACUUUCCCAGCUCCUGGUCGGCUAACGAGCGAAUGUCUGCGUGACCUCUGUCAUGGAGCCAUUUCUCCACACUAUACUAUCAAAGUUUAAAGGUAAAUUAUUAUAUAUUAGGAGAUGGUGUAAAGUGUAUGUUGUAAUGUGUAGGAUAUAUACAAAGAUACGUACUUGAAAGUCCGUAGAGGAAACAAAUUUUUACGCCUUCUGUUUGACUGUUUGUCAUAUAUUUGGUUUUAUUUCCCAGGGAUCAGUGAAUUUUAACUCUGGAGUCCUCUAUGCUAAGGAUGCUCAGCUUAGAGAUGAUGAAAUGUUCAGUAAUGUAUUUGCUGCAGCUCUGCUUACCCAAGCUUUGGGUUCCCUCUGUCUCACUGGGAGUUGCCCAAUUCAGUUGCAUCUGGUGAAAUUCACCCUGAGACCUUACAGAACCAGCUCCAACUACGUGAGAGCCAUUUGCAGUUCUCUCCAGACACCUGGAGAAUGGGCGACAUUUCUGAGAAUCCGGCGAGCGUGCUUCUAUCAAAACUCAGUCUGUGAAAUUCCUGGGGAAAACCCUUCUGUGUCCUGAAGGGUUCAAACUCUGGAUUUUUUGUCUUUGCAAAAUAUUGUGCAUUUCACUCUUUGGAACCUCUCAGAUGGUUCUCUGGUGCAGCACCACCCCAUGGGACACUUGGCUGCUGUCCUGAAGGGUUUGGUCGCUAGAAUUGUGAAUCCUGGAGAGUUUGUGAGUCUUCUGUCCCCAGGGAGGGAAAGACUCUCGUAUCCUUGUCAUCGGGCUCGGUGCUGUCCAAGAAGAUACAGAGACUAAAAAAAUCAUAAGAAGCAAAAUAUGACUGCAGGGAAAAGAAGCUGGAGAGAACAGAAGACUCAUCACGGCGGGACAGCGUGAAGACUGAAAGUGUAAGAAGAUGUGGAGGGAAACAGAGAAUCUGACAGGAGCAUCGGAGGGACGAGUGCACGAAUUUUGCUUUUUGCUUGGAUGUAAACUCAGGAGUUGAGAGGAAUUUGGGAGUGAGAAGGGACAUUUUAGAAGGAGAAGAAGAAAAAGAAGUUGUUGCUACAGUCCUGGCAAAAUCUUUUGUUCUAGCUAAUAAAAGAAGUUAGUUUAAAAAACAAAAAGGAAAAAAUGUAGUGUUUUUUUUUUCCUUCACUAUGAUAUUCAUUGGUGGUAUAUGGUGUGUUGUUUCAUUUCUUGGUAUUAUUAACUCUGUGUAAAUUGUUUUUUGAGUGAAGCUGACUUUCUGGAUGGGUUGGUUUGUAUUUGAGGCAGGAUUAAUUUCAGUAGGGUUCUUUCAUAGAUUUCUGAUGGGUAUUACUGGGAUUUUGGUUUUGUUUACUGUAUGUAUGAACCUAGAGCUUUGGUAGGGCCAGCUGGGCUGCUGGAGUUUUGGGUGUGAAUUUAUUAGAUGGCUUUUGUUAGAUGCAGUUUUUAAUUUUUGAAAUGUUUUUCAAUGUAGUGGUUUUAAGGUGGUUUUUAAGAAUUCAUUGUAUUGCUUUAUCUUGUUUGUAGUUGGUGUAUGAUAAGGGAUGUGGUGUGAGUUCUUGAACAUUAUGGUUUUGGUGUUCCUAAGUUCUGAUUUCUUUGUGGUUCAAUAGCUUUUUUUAUUUUUAUUUUUUGGGACAGGGGCAUUUAUAUGGUGGGUUUUUAUAGGCAAUAUGUUUUUUAAUUUAGGUAGUGAUAUUUUUUAAUAUUUUAAUAGUUUAGGUUUUUUAUUUUCAUGGUUUUAAUUAUUUUUUUUAAUUUUUUGAAAUAACUUUUAUAGAUUACAUGUUAUUAUUUGUGCAUUAACAUAAAGGUAGAGCUUUGGGGACUUUUUUUAGUAAUGUUUAGGGUCAGUUGUGCAGUUUUGAGUCUAGUGCGUUGGUUUGAUUUAAUUUUUAAUGGGUGUUUGUUUUUAUUAGCAGUUGUGUCAUUUUCAGGGUGUGUUUGAGUUUUUUGGGGUUUUUGAGAUACUGGUUUAGGAGGAAGUUUAUGAUGAGCAUGUGCGGAGGUUUUGGGCUACUUUAUAGUGGGAUUUAAAAUUUAUUUACAGUUAGGUUUAUUUGAGUUUUUAUUAGGGUUCAGUGACGUUGUGGGAUGUUUGUUCCGUUAGUAACAGAAAUAGGUUUUGUUUUGCUGUGCUGCGAUGGGAUGGGCGUGUGCUGCGUGCCGGUGCUGACAAAGGUACAGUAUUGUUGUGGCUCUGGUGCGUCGGGUUAAUGAACUGACAUGGUUUAAUGUAGAGAUGAAAAUAGAAAUAAAUAUACAUUUAAAAAUAAAUAUAACAUUAGAGUGGUAAACAUAAAUAUAGAUAACAGAUACAUACAUAAAACUAUAAUAUAUGGUAUAUAAUUGUAACAUGUUAUCAUAUAGAUAAAUGAUAGUCUAUUUUAUAUAUAUAUACACAAAGAUAUAUAAAUAUAGAUUGUAAAUAUAAAAAUAUUUAAAUAGAGUUAAAGUAAAUUGGGCAGUUUUAUUAGGGUAUAGGCUGGGGUUUUUAAAUGAUAGCAAUAA